AUAAUAAAAUAUUAAAACUACUUCAUUGUUCCUUGACUCAGAAUUAAACACUGUUAAUUGCUGAGUCUUAUUUUUCUCUCUGUGUGUGUAUGUGACAGGCAUUGUACAUAGUAAAUAUAGUAUAUGGUGUUGUAACUCGCUCUUUUGUCACCAUUUAACUCUUUCUGGAUAAUUUUCCCAUAGCUUUAAUCUUUCUUCACAAAUAUAAUUUCUAAUGGCUGGAUAUAUUCUUGUUCUUCCAUUGAGAUGAAUGCCAGAUAGUAAAUAUUUUAAAUUUUGCAGGGCCCAGUGGUCUCUAUUACGAACUACUCAACUCUGCCAUUGAACACAAAAGCAGCCUUAAGCAUGACAAAAACAAAUGAGCAUCACUGUUUCAAUAAAAUUUUAUUUAUAAAACAGGCAUGGGCCAAUCCUUGAGCUCAAACUUCCUAAGUUUACAUUUUGCAUCUUAUAGAAAAAAAGCGACAAUUUGAAAUGAAAAGGAAGCUUCACUACAAUGAAGGACUCAAUAUCAAACUAGCCAGACAAUUAAUUUCAAAAGACCUACAUGAUGAUGAUGAAGAUGAAGAAAUGUUAGAGACUGCAGAUGGAGAAAGCAUGAAUACGGAAGAAUCAAAUCAAGGAUCUACUCCAAGUGACCAACAGCAAAACAAAUUACGAAGUUCAUAGACGAGAUUUGUUCAACACUGCAAUUGUUUGUUAGAUGUAAACCCUGUGACUAUAGUACGUUGCUUCUUGUUCUUCACAAUUCAUGACUUAAGUACCAAAAUGCAUACCAGUUAUUAUAUAUUGCCAAGAAUUAAAUGAUAAACUUAGAGACUGAUUAGACUGAAAAUGCCUAAUCGAUAUAUAUAUUCUUGUGCCUAGUACUUUACCACAAAUACAGUGU
rnacentral:lncRNA from 1 species